UACGUAGGUGGCAAGCGUUGUCCGGAAUUAUUGGGCGUAAAGCGCGCGCAGGCGGUCCCUUAAGUCUGAUGUGAAAGCCCACGGCUCAACCGUGGAGGGUCAUUGGAAACUGGGGGACUUGAGUACAGAAGAGGAAAGCGGAAUUCCACGUGUAGCGGUGAAAUGCGUAGAGAUGUGGAGGAACACCAGUGGCGAAGGCGGCUUCUGGUCUGUAACUGACGCUGAGGCGCGAAAGCGUGGGGAGCAACAGG
rnacentral:rRNA from 1 species